AAAGGCUUAGGUUAAUUCAAACCAAGGGCCUUCAAAGCCCUUAAUACAGGUGCAAGUCCUUUAGCCUUUG
rnacentral:tRNA from 1 species